ACAAUUUUUCUAGAGCCCUCGACUCCGUCAAUAAGCGAAAAGUGAUGAUAUGUUUUUCUUGAUAAGUGAUCAUAUGACUUUGAAGAAUCUCUAGAAAAUAAUCUUUUUGAUAGUUGCAAGUAAAAUGUGCAUGCUAUAUUUAGGAUGCAACGAAUGCCUCAUGUCAAGCUUCAAACGUAUACAAUUCAGUGAUGACAGUUGAAGAAAGGAUUUACGAAGAAAAGCUGCUAGACUUGAUGCAGCAGAAUCGCAUUCGGUAAAAUUUGUAAAAUCUCUAUUAUAAACAAUCGAUCGAAGUAGAAAGAAAUGUAAAGAAGUGAAAAAUGAAGAAACGUUAUACGAUUAGAGAAUUUAGAAAACCCGAAAGUAGGGUGAAUUUUGCGGAUACAGAGAACGACGCUUGUCAGGAAGAUCUUGGAUAUUCGAGAGUAGAAACAUUGGAAAGGCAGGAAUAAAAUGUAUUAGAUUACCAUAAAUUGAUGAAAAAACAAAAACCUGAAUUUCAAAAAUGUUACAAGAAAAUUUACAAAAACAGCAGCAAUAGAAUGGAGUUACAAUUAUUAAGAAACAAGUGUCAGGAACGGUUUCAAGCGUAGCGUUUUUAUAUCAUUACAGUGUCUGAAAAUUGUUAAUCGACAAGCUGUAAAUAAAGCGGAAAAAUGUAAAUGAAGUCAAUGCCAAAUACUUCUCCAAUACGGCUGGUUUUUUUUUUUUUUAAUGGAAGUUUCUAUUAAACAUACGUAUAUAUAAACUUUAUUAGAUUUAAAAAUGUUGUUAUUUAACAUUUAAACAAAAAUGUCAAGUAAUUUAUUUAUAUUUCCUUAAGCAAUCGAAUGACAAACGAAAGAAUACAAGAUUCCGACUGAUUUAGUUUCGUGUGCAUGCUGCUGCGCGCGCGGAUGUGUGUGUGCGCGUGUACACCCUUUUUUUUUUUUCAAGAAAAAUCAUGCAUACAAUAGAAUUCUCACUUGUCAGAUGAAACAUUGAUUUUUUCUUAUAUGAAGCCAUGAUUAAUAACUCA